rnacentral:rRNA from 1 species
UACGGAGGGUGCGAGCGUUGUCCGGAAUUCAUUGGGCGUAAAGGGCGCGUAGGCGGAUGGCACAGUCAGAUGUGAAAUUCCCGGGCUUAACCUGGGGGCUGCAUUUGAUACGUGUUGUCUUGAGUUCGGAAGAGGGUCGUGGAAUUCCCAGUGUAGAGGUGAAAUUCGUAGAUAUUGGGAAGAACACCGGUGGCGAAGGCGGCGACCUGGUCCGACACUGACGCUGAGGCGCGAAAGCGUGGGGAGCAAACAGGAUUGA